CAGCAUCUCUGCAGAAUGUGGAUAGGUGACGUUGUGGGUUGAGAGCAUUCUUCAGACACUCGGUCUGGAACUGGACCUGGGAUCCAAGUGAGUUGCCGGCCCUGGCUUGCAGCGGCUCGGAGAGAGGCGAGGAUCGGUGCAAUAAUUGGUUGCAACCUGCGGGCUACGGGAGUGCAGGUAAUGGUCGGCGAUGGCAUGGGCAGCACCAGGCAUGGCCUGGAAGUGGCCGAGGAAGCUGUGCGGGCCGGCGGCGGCGGCGGCAGUAGGUCUGGCCUGGACGCAGCCAGGGAGGGGCGACGCAGGCUAGAGGGUGGCAAUGGCAGUCUGGCCUGGAAACUGCUGAGGAAGUUGUGUGGGCUGGCAGUAGCAGCAGUAGGUCGGGCCUGGAAGUGGCCAGGGAGGGGAUGCAGGCCAGGGAUGGUGUCGGCAGCCCAGCCUGGUCGUGAAGGUUGGUGGGUCCGCGAGCAUUGCCACUUUUCAUUUCACUGUACAUCUCGUAUGUGUAUUUGACAAAUAAACUUGACUUUGACUGACUUGACCUCUAUAAACUGAAAUUCAUUAUAAAGAGGUCCGUGAUAACAAGGGCUCACUGUAUAGAAAUUGGGACAUCGUUACAGUUGCACAAGGCAUUGGUGAGACUACACUUGCACCUGUGUUCAGUUUUGGUCACCCAGCUAUAGAAAUAUGCCAAAAGCCAGAACAAAUGCAAAGACGAUUUACUAGGAUGUUGCUGGGACUUUAUGGAGGGCGUGAUGUACAGGAAGAGAUUGGGCAGAUUAGAACGGUAUUCCUUCGACCACAAGAGACUGAGCUGUGGUUUUAUAAGUAUGUACAAAUCACGAGUGAAUGUACAUGGUAUGUUUCCCAGAGUUGGGGAAAGACUUCAAAGCGACUCGGGGGACGGUUUUCACACACAGAAGGCGGUGAGUACAUGAUACCAGCUGCUGCAGGAAGUAUAUACAAGGAAAUGCGGAUGUUGGUUUACAAAACAAAACACGUAGUGUUGGAGUAACUCAGCGGGCCAGGCAACAUUUCUGAAGAACUUCGUGUCAUUUUUUUUUGCCAUGGGAAGUAGUUGAGACAGAUGAUCAAGUGUUGGCGCCUAUUGUGUCCAUUGCCUGUCGAUACAUCUGCCUCUCCCCUCUUAAGAAAGAAACAAGCCAUUGACUGGUCCAACGUUAUUGAUGCCGGGUCUGAACUAUGGAACAUAGGUCCAUGAGCACAGAGUUACAAUUCUCACCAAUGGCUACAUUUGAACCGCACAGCAGAGCGAUACCAACAUAACUGUUUGUACAGUGUAAGGAAUUGAAAUCGAUCUUACCUGUGAAGAAGUAGGUUGAAGAUUUUAAUCCGAACAUAUUCCGUCUCAGCAAAUUUUUGACAUGGUUGAAAGAAAAAUAACCCGAGGGAAGAUCUUUUAAUUGCAGCUGCGGGUGUCGGGGAGGUCGUGGUGGGGGGGACUUGAUAAUUCUUGGUACAAAGCAGUGAGAGAGGUCCCCUCGCCACCGUUCAGCCGAGGUCCAGCACAGAGAGCGAUCCCCUCGCAAGGUUACGAAGCGCGGAGGAGAAAGAAAGGCUUGUGCUGCCCUCUCGAGUCAGCGGGAGGUCCGCGACACACACACACACACACACACACACACACAGAGAAAGAAAGAGAGAGAAGAAACAAAAACACGAAGAGACGGGAAUGAUGCGAGGUCAAAGCGGCAGCAUGAAAGAGCCGCGGUUCAGGCUGGCUGCUGCGCCGCCGUUUGGAUGAGUGGAAGGAAUGGCUGGCACCGGCUGGAAACUCCGGCUCGGAAUAUGGAGGAAGGGGGGGGGGGGGGGGUGUCCGCUUUCAAACUCUGGGAGACACCAAGCCGCUGAAGAAGCCCCUGCUGGCCAAGAACCAGAAAGGAAACAAUAUAUAAUGAUUUCUGCCUAUAGCUGCGGGUCAGAUUCAUAACAGCACAGGAGCGUUACAACAAAACUAAUCACAUCUUGGUCAAAUGUCAAAGCAAUCUACAAUGAAAGAAUAACCGCACUUAGUGGCGGGAUCUCCAUACAAACAGAACAUUAUUUAAAAUAUAAUAACCUCUGGAAGAUAAAUUACAGUGCAAUCUUAUGUAACCCAUGGGGAUUUUUUGUUUAUAAAAGUCUCAGUUCAAUGUGCUUGGUUGUACGGGGAAAGGCCUACUGCAUCUAUAUAAAUAACUAUUCAACAAGGAUUAACCACAAAGCAGAGCAUAGAAGUCAUAAUGUAACAAUAUGAACUUGUCAUGCCCCAGUACUUCCUUUGACCAAAUAAAAAGCCAUAUAUUUCACA